rnacentral:rRNA from 1 species
UGGCGGCGUGCCUAAUACAUGCAAGUCGAACGAACUGUGGAAAGACUUGCUUUCAGAGUUAGUGGCGAACGGGUGAGUAACACGUAAGUAACCUAGCUAUUAGACGAGGAUAACUACUGGAAACGGUAGCUAAGACUGGAUAUGAUAGAAAUAUUUAAAGGAAUGCUAAGGCAUCGCUAAUAGAGGGGCUUGCGGCGCAUUAGCUAGUUGGUAGGGUAAAAGCCAACCAAGGCGAUGAUGCGUAGCCGACCUGAGAGGGUGACCGGCCACACUGGGACUGAGACACGGCCCAGACUCCUACGGGAGGCAGCAGUAGGGAAUCUUCGGCAAUGGACGAAAGUCUGACCGAGCAACGCCGCCGUGAGUGAAGAAAGUUUUCGGAUUGUAAAGCUCUGUUAUUAGGGAAGAAAGGCUCUAGGAGGAAAUGCUUAGGGAUUGACGGUACCUAAUGAGGAAGCCACGGCUAACUACGUGCCAGCCGCCGC